rnacentral:rRNA from 1 species
AACGAACGCUGGCGGCAUGCCUAACACAUGCAAGUCGAACGAGACCUUCGGGUCUAGUGGCGCACGGGUGCGUAACGCGUGGGAACCUGCCCUUAGGUUCGGAAUAACUCCCCGAAAGGGGUGCUAAUACCGGAUAAUGUCUUCGGACCAAAGAUUUAUCGCCUUUGGAUGGGCCCGCGUUGGAUUAGCUAGUUGGUAGGGUAAAAGCCUACCAAGGCGACGAUCCAUAGCUGGUCUGAGAGGAUGAUCAGCCACACUGGGACUGAGACACGGCCCAGACUCCUAGGGGAGGAGGAGGGGGGAAAUAUGGGACAAGGGGGAAAGGCCUAACCCAGCAAGGCCGGGGGAGUAAUGAAGGCCUUGGGGUUGAAAAGCUCUUUUACCCGGGAUGAAAAUAACAGUCCCGGGAAAAUAAGCUCCGGCUAACUCCGUG